GGGGACUCCAGACAGCGGCCAAAAAGCCCACUAAUUUGAGUAAGUGCUUCAACAACAUACAGCAACAGCCAUGCAACUCCGUAGCCCUAACAGUUACUACUUCCACCAGACAUUUUGAGAACACAGGUUAUCAUACCGCUCCCUUCCCUUGGUGCUCUACCCCCUUUCACUGCCAGAGAGCGUUUCCACACCUGCUCGGCUGCUCCCAGGGAGGGGACCCCAUCGCUGCCAGCCACAGCAAGGGACCAACUGCGCUGGAUGGGAUUCCCCCAGGAGACAGAUUCUGAGGCAGAGAUUUACCCACAGAAGGAUCCUGAAGGGUCAUUUCAGGAACAAUACCUGUCAGGAAGUGGAGGAAGAAGGACAGGGAGUGAAGAGUUGAGCUGCCUGGGCAUUGCUUUGGAGACCCUGGCUGACCCACGGAGAGUCCUGGAGCUGCAGGGACCAUGGAGUUAUCUCCCAUAGAGCAAGGGGCCAGCUGCGUCCCACCUUUGCGUCACCAGAGGGUGGCACCUGCCACGCUGGGUUUCUACCCACACCCUGCAGAUUCUAGCUCCUACUCAACCAGACUGGCAAGCCAAGAGGAAAGGAGGCCACUGAAGUGCUCCAAACAAGACUGCAUCACUGAUGUAUUUCAGAUACUGCUUCUAAAAUGGGAGAUGAUGCCUUUGGAGGAGAGGUGAACCCCUAUGUGAACAGAUGAACCUGACACUUACUGCCAAAUGACCAAUCAGAGCGUGGACACGAUGCACACUUGAUAAGGAACAGACGUGGCUGAGUCUAAGGUGAAUCUUCAGAAACCAAUAUGAUGAGUGUUGUAAUGGAUGUUCUUAAUGCACUCUCGUGAAAUAAAGAAAUGUUUUCGGAAUUUUGGUGCCUGCAAUUUCUCAUCACAGUUGUGUGGCCCAUCAUUCUUAGCUGUCAUCAUUUCUGCUGCCACUCUUGUCUCGGAAGUCUUCAGUUAACACUUGAUUGAAUGGAAACUUUGUGAAGCCCAGAUUGCAAGAGGUCAUGCCCUGGGUGAAGAAC
ensembl:lncRNA